GAUGAACGCUAGCUACAGGCUUAACACAUGCAAGUCGAGGGGCAGCAUGAACUUAGCUUGCUAAGUUUGAUGGCGACCGGCGCACGGGUGAGUAACACGUAUCCAACCUGCCGAUGACUCGGGGAUAGCCUUUCGAAAGAAAGAUUAAUACCCGAUGGCAUAGUUCUUCCGCAUGGUAGAACUAUUAAAGAAUUUCGGUCAUCGAUGGGGAUGCGUUCCAUUAGGUUGUUGGCGGGGUAACGGCCCACCAAGCCUUCGAUGGAUAGGGGGUUCUGAGAGGAAGGUCCCCCCACAUUGGAACUGAGACACGGUCCAAACUCCUACGGGAGGCAGCAGUGAGGAAUAUUGGUCAAUGGACGAGAGUCUGAACCAGCCAAGUAGCGUGAAGGAUGACUGCCCUAUGGGUUGUAAACUUCUUUUAUACGGGAAUAAAGUGAGGCAUGUGUGCCUUUUUGUAUGUACCGUAUGAAUAAGGAUCGGCUAACUCCGUGCCAGCAGCCGCGG
rnacentral:rRNA from 1 species